AACCUUGCACUGGAGCAUAUCCAUACCUGUGAAGUAAUAACUGAGGCUGGAUUAUUGCUGAUUGAAAACUUUUUACCAAUCACCGCGAGACGACAAACUCUUUGAGGAAGUCGGCUUUCGUAAUUUUUGGAACGACCUCUGGUC
rnacentral:snRNA from 1 species